AACGUACGCUGGCGGCACGCCUAACACAUGCAAGUCGAACGAAGUAGCAAUACUUAGUGGCAGACGGGUGAGUAACAUGUAGGUAUCUGCCCUUUGGCCUGGAAUAACACGAGGAAACUUGUGCUAAUACCGGAUAAGUCUUUACAGAGAAAGCUUUAUGCACCAUUGGAUGAGCCUGCACUUGAUUAGUUUGUUGGUGGGGUAAUGGCCUACCAAGACUGUGAUCAAUAGCUGAUUUGAGAGGAUGAUCAGCCACAUUGGGACUGAGACACGGCCCAAACUCCUACGGGAGGCAGCAGUGGGGAAUCUUGCACAAUGGAGGAAACUCUGAUGCAGCGAUGCCGCGUGAGUGAAGAAGGCCCUUGGGUUGUAAAGCUCUUUCGUCGGGGAAGAAAAUGACUGUACCCGAAUAAGAAGGUCCGGCUAACUUCGUGCCAGCAGCCGCGGUAAUACGAAGGGACCUAGCGUAGUUCGGAAUUACUGGGCUUAAAGAGUUCGUAGGUGGUUGAAAAAGUUAGUGGUGAAAUCCCAGAGCUUAACUCUGGAACUGCCAUUAAAACUUUUCAGCUAGAGUAUGAUAGAGGAAAGCAGAAUUUCUAGUGUAGAGGUGAAAUUCGUAGAUAUUAGAAAGAAUACCAAUUGCGAAGGCAGCUUUCUGGAUCAUUACUGACACUGAGGAACGAAAGCAUGGGUAGCGAAGAGGAUUAGAUACCCUCGUAGUCCAUGCCGUAAACGAUGUGUGUUAGACGUUGGAAAUUUAUUUUCAGUGUCGCAGGGAAACCGAUAAACACACCGCCUGGGGAGUACGACCGCAAGGUUAAAACUCAAAUGAAUUGACGGGGACCCGCACAAGUAGUGGAGCAUGUGGUUUAAUUCGAAGAUACGCGCAGAACCUUACCAACACUUGACAUGUUCGUCGCGACUCUAAGAGAUUAGAGUUUUCGGUUCGGCCGGACGAAACACAGGUGCUGCAUGGCUGUCGUCAGCUCGUGUCGUGAGAUGUUGGGUUAAGUCCCGCAACGAGCGCAACCCUCACUUUUAGUUGCCAUCAUUAAGUUGGGCACUCUGAAAGAACUGCCAGUGAUAAGCUGGAGGAAGGUGGGGAUGACGUCAAGUCCUCAUGGCCCUUACGUGUUGGGCUACACACGUGCUACAAUGGUAUCUACAACAGGAAGCAAAACUGCGAAGUUAAGCAAAUCCCUAAAAGAUACCUCAGUUCGGAUUGCACUCUGCAACUCGAGUGCAUGAAGCUGGAAUUACUAGUAAUCGUGGAUCAGCGUGCCACGGUGAAUGCGUUCCCGGGUCU
rnacentral:rRNA from 1 species